UGGGGAAUUUUGGACAAUGGGGGGAAACCCCUGAUCCAGCCAUCCCGCGUGUGCGAUGAAGGCCUUCGGGUUGUAAAGCACUUUUGGCAGGAAAGAAACGUCGCGGGUUAAUACCCCGCGAAACUGACGGUACCUGCAGAAUAAGCACCGGCUAACUACGUGCCAGCAGCCGCGGUAAUACGUAGGGUGCAAGCGUUAAUCGGAAUUACUGGGCGUAAAGCGUGCGCAGGCGGUUCGGAAAGAAAGAUGUGAAAUCCCAGAGCUUAACUUUGGAACUGCAUUUUUAACUACCGGGCUAGAGUGUGUCAGAGGGAGGUGGAAUUCCGCGUGUAGCAGUGAAAUGCGUAGAUAUGCGGAGGAACACCGAUGGCGAAGGCAGCCUCCUGGGGAUAACACUGACGCUCAUGCACGAAAGCGUGGGGAGCAAAACAGGAUUAGAUACCCUGGUAGUCCACGCCCUAAAACGAUGUCAACUAGCUGUUGGGGCCUUCGGGCCUUGGUAGCGCAGCUAACGCGUGAAGUUGACCGCCUGGGGAGUACGGUCGCAAGAUUAAAAACUC
rnacentral:rRNA from 1 species